CCUGCGGAAGGAUCAUUGUCGUGACCCGCAAGGACAAUCGUGAACCGUCAACGCACCUGGGCGAAGUAUGGGGGGCGGUGCUCAGCUA
rnacentral:rRNA from 1 species